AUGAAUUUGGCUUUAUUAGCCUGUUGGGUCAGUAGAUACUAUAACUCUAAGGGUAAGAUCUGGAAAUAUAUAAUCGAUUCAAAAUAUAAUCCUCAAAGCAAUUUAUUUGCUUGCCCCAAUUCUGGAGCAUCUCCUUUUUGGAAAGGGGUGCUCUGGGCAGCUCAAGCUGCUAAGGUUGGUUUCUCUUGGAAAAUUGGCAAUGGAAAAAGGAUCAGAUUCUCGGAGGAUCAUUGGUUUGGUAAUGCCACCUUGGCCACCCAAUAUUGGGAUCUUUAUGUUCUUGCUAAUGAGCAUAAUGACACCAUUGCUAAAAUUUGGGACGGCAGUAACCUU
rnacentral:rRNA from 1 species